rnacentral:rRNA from 1 species
UACGGGGGGAGCAAGCGUUGUUCGGAUUUACUGGGCGUAAAGGGCGCGUAGGCGGCCACGACAAGUCACUUGUGAAAUCUCCGGGCUUAACUCGGAACGGUCAAGUGAUACUGUCGGGCUAGAGUGCGGAAGGGGCAACUGGAAUUCUCGGUGUAGCGGUGAAAUGCGUAGAUAUCGAGAGGAACACCUGCGGCGAAGGCGGGUUGCUGGGCCGACACGUGACGCUGAGGCGCGAAAGCUAGGGGAGCGAACGGG